GAUGAACGCUAGCGGCAGGCUUAACACAUGCAAGUCGAGGGGCAGCGCGGUAGCAAUACUGGCGGCGACCGGCAAACGGGUGCGGAACACGUACGCAAUUUACCCCUGUCUGGGAGAUAGCCCGGAGAAAAUCCGGAUUAAUACCCCAUAAGAUAUUAGAGUGGCAUCACUUAGAUAUUAAAACUCCGGUGGACAGGGAUGAGCGUGCGUCCCAUUAGCUAGUUGGUAGGGAAUAGCCUACCAAGGCGACGAUGGGUAGCUGGUGUGAGAGCACGACCAGCCACACGGGCACUGAGACACGGGCCCGACUCCUACGGGAGCAGCAGUGAGGAAUAUUGGUCAAUGGACGCAAGUCUGAACCAGCCAUGCCGCGU
rnacentral:rRNA from 1 species